rnacentral:rRNA from 1 species
UUUUUCUUUCACCGGAGCUUGCUCCACCGAAAGAAAAAGAGUGGCGAACGGGUGAGUAACACGUGGGUAACCUGCCCAUCAGAAGGGGAUAACACUUGGAAACAGGUGCUAAUACCGUAUAACACUAUYUUCCGCAUGGAAGAAAGUUGAAAGGCGCUUUUGCGUCACUGAUGGAUGGACCCGCGGUGCAUUAGCUAGUUGGUGAGGUAACGGCUCACCAAGGCAACGAUGCAUAGCCGACCUGAGAGGGUGAUCGGCCACACUGGGACUGAGACACGGCCCAGACUCCUACGGGAGGCAGCAGUAGGGAAUCUUCGGCAAUGGACGAAAGUCUGACCGAGCAACGCCGCGUGAGUGAAGAAGGUUUUCGGAUCGUAAAACUCUGUUGUUAGAGAAGAACAAGGAUGAGAGUAAAAUGUUCAUCCCUUGACGGUAUCUAACCAGAAAGCCACGGCUAACUACGUGCCAGCAGCCGCGGUAAUACGUAGGUGGCAAGCGUUGUCCGGAUUUAUUGGGCGUAAAGCGAGCGCAGGCGGUUUCUUAAGUCUGAUGUGAAAGCCCCCGGCUCAACCGGGGAGGGUCAUUGGAAACUGGGAGACUUGAGUGCAGAAGAGGAGAGUGGAAUUCCAUGUGUAGCGGUGAAAUGCGUAGAUAUAUGGAGGAACACCAGUGGCGAAGGCGGCUCUCUGGUCUGUAACUGACGCUGAGGCUCGAAAGCGUGGGGAGCGAACAGGAUUAGAUACCCUGGUAGUCCACGCCGUAAACGAUGAGUGCUAAGUGUUGGAGGGUUUCCGCCCUUCAGUG